rnacentral:rRNA from 1 species
UCGGGAAUUUUGGGCAAUGGGCGAAAGCCUGACCCAGCAACGCCGCGUGAAGGAUGAAGUAUUUCGGUAUGUAAACUUCGUAAGAAUAGGAAGAAUAAAUGACGGUACUAUUUGUAAGGUCCGGCUAACUACGUGCCAGCAGCCGCGGUAAUACGUAGGGACCAAGCGUUGUUCGGAUUUACUGGGCGUAAAGGGCGCGUAGGCGGUUUGUCAAGUCAGUUGUGAAAUCUCCGAGCUUAACUCGGAACGGUCAACUGAUACUGUCAAACUAGAGUACAGAAGGGGCAAUCGGAAUUCUUGGUGUAGCGGUGAAAUGCGUAGAUAUCAAGAGGAACACCUGAGGCGAAGGCGGGUUGCUGGGCUGAUACUGACGCUGAAGCGCGAAAGCUAGGGUAGCAAACGGGAUUAGAUACCCCCGUAGUCCCUGAGCGGGCUGGCAAGGCGCAU